UUUUGGGGAGCGCGGCUACCUGCAGUCGACGCGAAGCAAUCUUCGGAUUGUAAGUAGAGUGGCAGACGGGUGAGUAAUGCAUAGGAAAUCUACCCGGGAGUGGGGAAUAACCAGCCGAAAGGCUGGCUAAUACCGCAUAAAGUCGUGUUACUUAAGUGAUGCGAACAAAGGGGGGGACCUUCGGGCCUCUCGCUUCUGGAUGAGCUUAUGUCCUAUUAGAUAGUUGGUGGGGUAAAGGCCUACCAAGUCGAUGAUGGGUAGCCGAGCUGAGAGGCUGAUCGGCCACACUGGUACUGGAACACGGACCAGACUCCUACGGGAGGCAGCAGUGGGGAAUUUUGCGCAAUGGGCGAAAGCCUGACGCAGCGACGCCGCGUGGAGGAUGAAGGGUUUCGUACUCGUAAACUCCUGUCAGAAAGGAUUAAAUGCUUAUAAGUUAAUAACUUAUAGGUUUGACUUAACUUUCAGAGGAAGCCCCAACUAAAUACGUGCCAGCAGCCGCGGUAAUACGUAUGGGGCGAGCGCUACUCGGAUUUAUUGGGCGUAAAGCGAAUGUAGGCUGUUUAUUAAGUCAGUAGUGAAAUCCCCCGGCUCAACCGGGGAAUAGCUAUUGAAACUGGUAGACUUGAGGACAGGAGAGGAAAGUAGAAUUCCCAGUGUAGCGGUGGAAUGCGUAGAUAUUGGGAGGAAUACCAGAGGCGAAGGCGGCUUUCUGGACUGGUCCUGACGCUGAGAUUCGAAAGCUAGGGUAGCAAACAGGAUUAGAUACCCUGGUAGUCCUAGCUGUAAACGAUGGAUACUGGAUUUUGCACAGAGUGCUUUGUCGAAGUUAACGCGUUAAGUAUCCCGCC
rnacentral:rRNA from 1 species